AAUGAACGCUGGUGGCAGACCUAACACAUGCAAGUCGAACGAUUUAUAAAAACUUCGGUUUUUAUAAAGAGUGGCAAACGGGUGAGUAAUGCAUGGGAAUCUACCUAGAAGUUUGGGAUAACUAUUAGAAAUAGUAGCUAAUACCGAAUACACCCCGAGGGGGAAAGUUGACUUUUAGUCUUCGCUUUUAGAUGAGCCCAUGUUAAAUUAGUUAGUUGGUGGGAUAACAGCCUACCAAGACGAUGAUUUAUAGCUGGUCUUAGAGGAUGAUCAGCCACACUGGAAUUGAGAUACGGCCCAGACUCCUACGGGAGGCAGCAGUAAGGAAUUUUUCACAAUGGGCGCAAGCCUGAUGAAGCAAUACCGCGUGAUCGAUGACGGUUUUUGGAUUGUAAAGAUUUGUGGUAGAGGAAGAAUAGAUAAAUGAGGAAAUG
rnacentral:rRNA from 1 species